rnacentral:rRNA from 1 species
CGGGAUUCCCCGAGUAAGGGCGACUGAAACGGGAUCAGCCCAGCGCAUAACCUCGCGGUCCGGACAGGGCCGUCGAGGGGUGUUGCGUAUCGGUGGAUCCGUCCCGCCCGAGAAGUACCGCCUAAGUUAUUUGUUUAAAUACAGCCCCCAAGGAGGGUGAAAGGCCCGUAUGGCGGCGCCCGCAAGGGCUUAUACGACUCGGGCGGAAGGGUCUUAUCACCGGAGAGUCGGGUUGCUUAAUAAUGCAGCCCUAAGAGAGGUGGUAAACUCCAUCUAAGGCUAAAUAUUCCCACGAGUCCGAUAGGAGACAAGUACCGUGAGGGAAAGUUGAAAAGGACUUUGAAGAGAGAGUUCAACAGUACGUGAAACCGUUAGAAGCUUAAACGGGUGGAACCGCGAAGGUCGAACGAGGGCAUUCACCUCGUCGGCGGGGCGGGGCGGGGUUCUGGACGAACGAUGGCGCAAUGUGUAUGCAAAGAAUGCGCAUCAGUCCCCGCCUGUCAGCAGCCUCGCCGGCGGGCGUACUUGUCCCUCUAGUAGCAUCGCCGCGACCCGUUGCGGGGACCAAGGGCCCAGCCCGGAUUGGUACCCGUGGUCAGGAGGGGAAUCCGUUGGCUGAUUGGACAGUGGUUCCCCGCGACGGUCACUCCCAGGGGGCGUACGUAAGUUCGCCUCUCGCGGCGGGAGAAGGAUCGGUGAUCCACCCGACCCGUCUUGAAACACGGACCAAGGAGUCUAACAUGUGCGCGAGUCUAAGGGUCCACUAAACCCGGAGGCGUAAUGAAAGUGAGCAUGACUGAGCAGGCCGAUCCCCGGUGUAGUGCCGGGGCGCAGGCCGAGGACUUGCCGCUCGGCGGCCGUCGGUGGCCUCCCCCGUCGCCGUCAAACGUGGCGGGAGGGGGUUUCGCCGGCGGUCCGCCGGCAAGUACCUUAAGAGCGCACACGUAAGGACCCGAAAGAUGGUGAACUAUGCCUGGCCAGGACGAAGCCAGAGGAAACUCUGGUGGAGGUCCGAACCAGUUCUGACGUGCAAAUCGAUUGUCAGAGCUGGGUAUAGGGGCGAAAGACUAAU